rnacentral:rRNA from 1 species
CUAGAAUAAAAGUAGUUAUAUUCUUCAUAACUCAAAGAAUUUGGCGGUUAAUAAAAGUUUUUAGAGGAACCUGUAUUUUAAUUGAUAAUCCACGAUAGUUUAUACCUUUAAUUUAUUUGUAUAUCUCUAUGGUAAGAAAGAUUGUUUUUAAAAGAUAUUUUCUUUAUGUAUAAACAUGUAUUUUAGGUCAAGGUGCAGUUUUCUAAAGGUAAAUAUGGGUUACAUUAUUAUUAAUUUUUUAUAAAAUUUUAUUAAAAUAAAUGUUAGGAUUUAAAAGUAAAAAUAAUUAAUUUAUUUUUUUGAAUAUU